GACGAACGCUGGCGGCGUGCUUAACACAAUGCAAGUCGAGCGGUAAGGCCCUUUCGGGGUACACGAGCGGCGAACGGGUGAGUAACACGUGGGUGACCUGCCCUUAGCUCUGGGAUAAGCCUGGGAAACUGGGUCUAAUACCGGAUAUGACUCCAUGACGCAUGUUGUGGGGUGGAAAGCCUUGUGCGGCUAGGGAUGGGCCCGCGGCCUAUCAGCUUGUUGGUGGGGUGAUGGCCUACCAAGGCGACGACGGGUAGCCGGCCUGAGAGGGCGACCGGCCACACUGGGACUGAGACACGGCCCAGACUCCUACGGGAGGCAGCAGUGGGGAAUCUUGCGCAAU
rnacentral:rRNA from 1 species